GACAGAGGAUGCAAGCGUUUAUUCGGAAUGAUUGGGCGUAAAGCGUCUGUAGGUGGCUUUUUAAGUCCGCCGUCAAAUCCCAGGGCUCAACCCUGGACAGGCGGUGGAAACUACCAAGCUGGAGUACGGUAGGGGCAGAGGGAAUUUCCGGUGGAGCGGUGAAAGUGCGUUGAGAGAUCGGAAAGAACACCAACGGCGAAAGACUCUGCUGGGCCGACACUGACACUGAGAGACGAAAGCUAGGGGGGCGAAUGGG
rnacentral:rRNA from 1 species